CCAUGACCACCUCAUGGAGUUGUUUAACAGCAGACUGACAAACAUACGUUCAGUAAUAUUAACGUUAGUGGCAGUGAUAGUUCUACCGUUAGCUAGCUCAUGUUAACACAUUCAGUUAGUUAAAUUCAAGUUGUCUGUUACGUUAAUGUUACCACCAAAAACCACCCACUGCGGGUGCUCUCUGCUCCUCUGUGGCCCGUGGCGUUUGCAGACUGCUGGCUCGCUGACCAGCUCAACAGCCUCAGCCCACUGUUUCUGGACCUGUGGCAUCUGCUCUGUUCCUAUAGCAACAAGGGAGCUGGACAGGAUGCUCUGACAUCAGGUCAUCAGGCCCCUGAGCAGGCUAGCUGUGGUCUGUCAGCCCUGGCGGCGACGUGUCUGAUCCAAUGCUUCCCCCCCUGGCUGCGUCUUGCCCAGUGCCUGAGGCAGUUUUGGGACAGCAGAGACGCCGUCCACCUCCUCAACGCUGGCAAAUACGCCACGGUCUUCCUCAUGGUCAUGUUCGCCGGACUC